UACGUAGGGUGCAAGCGUUGUCCGGAAUUAUUGGGCGUAAAGAGCUCGUAGGCGGUCUGUCACGUCGGCUGUGAAACCCGAGGCUCAACCUCGGGCCUGCAGUCGAUACGGGCAGACUAGAGUUCGGUAGGGGAGACUGGAAUUCCUGGGUGUAAGCGGUGAAAUGCGCAGAUAUCAGGAGGAACACCGGUGGCGAAGGCGGGUCUCUGGGCCGAAACUGACGCUGAGACGCGAAAGCGUGGGGAGCGAACAGG
rnacentral:rRNA from 1 species